GCCGUAAACGAUGGGCACUAGGUGUCGCGGGUAUUGACCCCUACAGUGCCGCAGCUAACGCAUUAAGUACCCCGCCUGGGGAGUACGGCCGCAAGGUUGAAACUCAAAGGAAUUGACGGGGGCCCGCACAAGCAGUGGAGUAUGUGGUUUAAUUCGAUGAUACGCGAGGAACCUUACCAGGGUUUGACAUUAAUUCGACCGCUGUGGAAACACAGCUUCCCUUCGGGGCGGAUUAACAGGUGGUGCAUGGCUGUCGUCAGCUCGUGUCGUGAGACGUU
rnacentral:rRNA from 1 species